rnacentral:rRNA from 1 species
CCCCUAGAUGUUCUGGGCCGCACGCGCGCUACACUGAACAGUUCAACAAGUCUUAACCUUGGCCGAUAGGUCUGGGUAAUCUUUGAACGCUGUUCGUGAUUGGGAUAGACCUUUGCAAUUAUGGGUCUUCAACGAGGAAUUCCUAGUAAACGCAAGUCAUCAGCUUGCAUUGAUUACGUCCCUGCCCUUUGUACACACCGCCCGUCGCACCUACCGAUUGAAUGGUCCGGUGAAAUCUCGGGCCGGCGGCUUGGUCGCUUGCGUCCGACUGCUGAAACUUGAUUAAACCAUAUCAUUUAGAGGAAGGUGAAGUCGUAACA